rnacentral:lncRNA from 1 species
UCCACUUAAAAAACACAAACCAACAGGAAUAGUUUAGCCGAACUACGGCAACUCUGAUUCUCAUGUCCAGAUGAGAUACGUAGGCACGAGAUGCGAUGUCUUGUCGAGUUUGACUAACAACUAACACUAAUUCUUUUCUCUCGCCCUCGUUGCGAUUGAGACCUCCCCUUUCUCUUGCCCUAGUUGCAAUCGAGACCCUUCUUCUUGUUGCAUGCUGUUGUGUGUUUUGGGUUCGGAUGCUGACAUAAUUCCAUCAAUUGGUUGUCGGGCUCCAUGUUUGCCCUUUUGAGUGUGUUUUGGGUUCGGAUGCUGACAUAAUUCCAUCAAUUGGU